GAUCCUGCUCCAAACCAGUCAGUACUACCCAGAUAAGGGGAACAUGAGAUUUUACACUUACCAAUCAAGUAUUAACACGCAAGGGUCUUUGUCUGAAUGUGUAUAAAAGGUUUGUGAAAUUUGUGUAAGACAGAGUCUUUUGUACCAAGGUACAGGCUCUCCUUUUUCUGCAGAAUAAAGCAUUUUUCCUUAUC